rnacentral:rRNA from 1 species
UACGAAGGGGGGCUAGCGUUGUUCGGAAUUACUGGGCGUAAAGCGUGCGCAGGCGGUUUUGUAAGUCUGUCGUGAAAUCCCCGGGCUUAACCUGGGAAUUGCGAUGGAGACUGCAAGGCUAGAAUCUGGCAGAGGGGGGGUAGAAUUCCACGUGUAGCAGUGAAAUGCGUAGAGAUGUGGAGGAACACCGAUGGCGAAGGCAGCCCCCCUGGGUCAAGAUUGACGCUCAUGCA